rnacentral:rRNA from 1 species
UGGGGAAUUUUGGACAAUGGGCGCAAGCCUGAUCCAGCCAUGCCGCGUGCGGGAAGAAGGCCUUCGGGUUGUAAACCGCUUUUGUCAGGGAAGAAACGCUCUGGGCUAAUACCCUGGGGUAAUGACGGUACCUGAAGAAUAAGCACCGGCUAACUACGUGCCAGCAGCCGCGGUAAUACGUAGGGUGCAAGCGUUAAUCGGAAUUACUGGGCGUAAAGCGUGCGCAGGCGGUUAUGCAAGACAGACGUGAAAUCCCCGGGCUCAACCUGGGAACUGCAUUUGUGACUGUAUAGCUAGAGUACGGUAGAGGGGGAUGGAAUUCCGCGUGUAGCAGUGAAAUGCGUAGAUAUGCGGAGGAACACCGAUGGCGAAGGCAAUCCCCUGGACCUGUACUGACGCUCAUGCACGAAACGCGUGGGGAGCAAACAGGAUUAGAUACCCAAGUAGUCCCUGAGCGGGCUGGCAAGGCGCAU